CCUACGGGAGACAGCAGUAGGGAAUUUUCGGCAAUGGGGGGAACCCUGACCGAGCAACGCCGCGUGAACGAAGAAGUUAUUCGUAAUGUAAAGUUCUUUUAACAGGGAAGAAAGAGAAAUUUGACGGUACCUGAAGAAUAAGCUCUGGCUAACUACGUGCCGGCAGCCGCGGUAAUACGUAGGGAGCGAGCGUUAUCCGGAAUUAUUGGGCGUAAAGGGUGCGUAGAUGGCAUAGUAAGUCUUUUGUAAAAAUGCUGGGCUCAACCCAGUAGGGCAAAAGAUACUGCAAAGCUAGAGUAUGACAGAGGCAAGUGGAACUACAUGUGUAGCGGUAAAAUGCGUAGAUAUAUGUAAGAACACCAGUGGCGAAGGCGGCUUGCUGGGUCGAUACUGACAUUGAGGCACGAAAGCGUGGGGAGCAAACAGGAUUAGAUACCCUAGUAGUC
rnacentral:rRNA from 1 species